AGCAUUCUGUAUCUGUGCUGAGAUUUCGUCACACACCAGACAACAAGGGCUGAUGAGACUCCCAAGAUAGGAGAAGCG
rfam:Schistosoma mattheei strain Denwood, Zambia genome assembly, scaffold: SMTD_scaffold0015670